rnacentral:rRNA from 1 species
GUAGGUGGCAAGCGUUGUCCGGAAUUAUUGGGUGUAAAGGGAGCGCAGGCGGGAAGCCAAGUCAGCUGUGAAAACUACGGGCUUAACUUGUAGACUGCAGUUGAAACUGGUUUUCUUGAGUGAUGUUGAGGUUGGUGGAAUUGG